rnacentral:rRNA from 1 species
CCUACGGGGGGCUGCAGUGGGGAAUAUUGGACAAUGGGGGCAACCCUGAUCCAGCCAUGCCGCGUGUGUGAAGAAGGCCCUCGGGUUGUAAAGCACUUUCAGUGAGGAAGAACGCCUGGUGGUUAAUACCCAUCAGGAAAGACAUCACUCACAGAAGAAGCACCGGCUAACUCCGUGCCAGCAGCCGCGGUAAUACGGAGGGUGCGAGCGUUAAUCGGAAUUACUGGGCGUAAAGCGCGCGUAGGUGGCUUGAUAAGCCGGUUGUGAAAGCCCCGGGCUCAACCUGGGAACGGCAUCCGGAACUGUCGAGCUAGAGUGCAGGAGAGGAAGGUAGAAUUCCCGGUGUAGCGGUGAAAUGCGUAGAGAUCGGGAGGAAUACCAGUGGCGAAGGCGGCCUUCUGGACUGACACUGACACUGAGGUGCGAAAGCGUGGGUAGCAAACAGGAUUAGAUACCCGUGUAGUC